rnacentral:rRNA from 1 species
GGGGAAUAUUGCACAAUGGGCGAAAGCCUGAUGCAGCAACGCCGCGUGGGGGAUGACGGCCUUCGGGUUGUAAACCUCUUUUAGUAGGGAAGAAGGACUUCGGUUUGACGGUACCUGCAGAAAAAGCACCGGCUAACUACGUGCCAGCAGCCGCGGUAAUACGUAGGGUGCAAGCGUUGUCCGGAAUUAUUGGGCGUAAAGAGCUUGUAGGCGGUUUGUCGCGUCUGCUGUGAAAAUCCGGGGCUCAACCCCGGACUUGCAGUGGGUACGGGCAGACUAGAGUGUGGUAGGGGAGACUGGAAUUCCUGGUGUAGCGGUGAAAUGCGCAGAUAUCAGGAGGAACACCGAUGGCGAAGGCAGGUCUCUGGGCCAUUACUGACGCUGAGAAGCGAAAGCAUGGGGAGCGAA